AUUGCACGCUGGCGGCAGGCCUAACACAUGCAAUUCGAACGAGUGGCGGACGGGUGAGUCAUGUCUGGGAAACUGCCCGAUGGAGGGGGAUAACUACUGGAAACGGUCGCUAAUACCGCAUACCAUCGGAUGUGCCCAGAUGGGAUGAGCUAGGAGGUGGGGUAACGGCUCACCUAGGCGACGAUGCCUAGCUGGUCUGAGAGGAUGACCAGCAACACUGGAACUGAGACACGGUACAGACUCCUACGGGAGGAAGCAGUGGGGAAUAUUGCACAAUGGGCGCAAGCCUGAGGCAGCCAUGACGAGUGUAUGAAGAAGGCCUUCGGGUUGUAAAGUACUUUCAGCGAGGAGGCGUUACUCGCAGAAGAAGCACCGGCUAACGCCGUGCCAGCAGCCGCGGUAAUAC
rnacentral:rRNA from 1 species